rnacentral:rRNA from 1 species
UACGUAGGGUGCAAGCGUUGUCCGGAAUUAUUGGGCGUAAAGAGCUCGUAGGCGGUUUGUUGCGUCGGCUGUGAAAUCCCGAGGCUCAACCUCGGGUCUGCAGUCGAUACGAGCAAACUAGAGUGUUGCAGGGGAGACUGGAAUUCCUGGUGUAGCGGUGAAAUGCGUAGAUAUCAGGAGGAACACCGGUGGUGUAGACGGCUUUCUGGACCGUAACUGACGCUGAGAACACGAAAGCGUGGGUAGCAAACAGG